rnacentral:lncRNA from 1 species
CGCCCGGCCGCCCCGCCAGCCACGGGCUUCAACGCGUCACGACCCCGGGCGGGGAGGGUUCGAUCCGGGGCCCCCAACCCCGCCGCUCCCUUUUAUGGAGGCUCAUUGUCAGCGUCCGUCCGGCAGUCCCGCCUCCAGACCAGGCUGGCCAAUCACGUGAGGACACGCCCCCUAGCCCCGCCCCAGCCACAGGUCUGGGCCAGAACCCUGUGCAGCGCGUUUGUCUCUGGCCGGUUUGCUCGGCGGCGAAGCCUGGAGUUUUCCUGGGAGCGGCGCCGGCAGCCUUGGAGACCCGGACAUACGCUUUAGGGAAAGAAAAAUCACUUUGGAUCCUCCUAAACAAAGAUUCUAGAAGAUGAAGAGGACAAGAGUGGCGUGUGGGCGUGUGUAAACCGCUUCCGAUGGAUAUAAUUUACGUUAAAAACAAAACAAAACAAAAGCUGGCUGGCGAUGCUGGUGUAGGGGCCUCAGAAACAACUCCAAGGAUUCAAGAUGGCCCAUUACUGAAAGGGAGGAAUGAGAAGGCUGGGCUGAUUCCAGUUGAGGAGACUAGCCGAAAUCUCUGUUCCCAAGAACUGAGCAAUUCCAAGCAAGUCCAGCCCUUAGAAGCUGCCCUGCCAUCUGGUCUGAGGCAAGGACAGUGCUUCAGCAACAGUUUCCAGACCUCCCCAGCAAGUUUCCAGCUCCCACACCCAGGUAAUGGAGUGUUCGUAGAGUUGGACCCAACAGAAUAACAUAGAAGUCAUCUACCUCGAAAUUCCCUAGUGUUUUAAAUCAGGCCUGCA